UACAGAGGUCCCGAGCGUUGUUCGGAUUCAUUGGGCGUAAAGGGUGCGUAGGCGGCGGGGAAAGUCUGAUGUGAAAUCCUGGGGCUCAACCCUGGAACUGCAUUGGAUACUUCCUUGCUAGAGUACUGGAGAGGAAACUGGAAUUUACGGUGUAGCAGUGAAAUGCGUAGAGAUCGUAAGGAAGACCAGUGGCGAAGGCGAGUUUCUGGACAGUUACUGACGCUGAGGCACGAAGGCCAGGGGAGCGAAUGGG
rnacentral:rRNA from 1 species